GGUGAAGUGGCUGAGACAGGCAAUAAAUUGUAAAUUUAUGUACGGAAUAUUAUUUCCCUUCACCA
rnacentral:tRNA from 1 species